rnacentral:rRNA from 1 species
UACGUAGGGUGCAAGCGUUAAUCGGAAUUACUGGGCGUAAAGCGUGCGCAGGCGGUCCUUUAAGUCAGGGGUGAAAGCCCAGAGCUCAACUCUGGAACUGCCUUUGAAACUAGAGGACUUGGGUACGGGAGAGGUGAGUGGAAUUCCGAGUGUAGAGGUGAAAUUCGUAGAUAUUCGGAAGAACACCAGUGGCGAAGGCGGCUCACUGGCCCGUUACCGACGCUCAGGCGCGACAGCGUGGGGGAGCAAACAGG